UCAAAUCAUCAUGCCCCUUAUGAUUUGGGCUACACACGUGCUACAAUGGACAAUACAAAGGGCAGCGAAACCGCGAGGUCAAGCAAAUCCCAUAAAGUUGUUCUCAGUUCGGAUUGUAGUCUGCAACUCGACUACAUGAAGCUGGAAUCGCUAGUAAUCGUAGAUCAGCAUGCUACGGUGAAUACGUUCCCGGGUCUUGUACACACCGCCCGUCACACCACGAGAGUUUGUAACACCCGAAGCCGGUGGAGUAACCUUUUAGGAGCUAGCCGUCGAAGGUGGGACAAAUGAUUGGGGUGAAGUCGUAACAAGGUAGCCGUAUCGGAAGGGGCGGCUGGAUCACCUCCUUUCUAAGGA
rnacentral:rRNA from 1 species